rnacentral:sRNA from 1 species
UUGUCACUAUUCUGCUAAAACCACAGUCCCCUUGCCCAGCUCCCUCUCCUUCCUGCAUGAGGAAGUCUUCCAUUUCCCAGGGACAUCGGAGCAGGAGAUUUCUGCAACCAUCUUUUCACUGAUACGUCUUUUCCCAGCAAGACCGUGAGGAUCUUUCUAGACCACCAGUUGGAAUAUAUCAUUCUUCAGCUAAAAUCUUUAUCAAGAGCCCUCGCAGCCUUUAGAAGAAGUUUUAAACUUGGGUCAGGCCUCAUGAUGGGGAUCUCUCCUUCUAGAGCCUUCUCUUCACCUUUGGGACCCAGAUUGAAUAUACAGCUUGCAUUUUUGUAUUAUUGUACACAGACUGCCCCCUGUCUCACCUCUCCUCUCUCUGGAUCUAUUGAGCCUUCUCCCAUCUGUGACGUCACCUUUCCUGCACAAGAGGCCCUUGUGCUACUUUGUUCUUCCCCAGCACAGCACGGCACAGUAAAGCAAUAGAAGCUUUACUCACAGGCAUGCUCCAGAGAACCAUAAAAUCCCUUGUCAAUCA